rnacentral:rRNA from 1 species
GAAGGGAAUGAGCGGCGGACGGGUGAGUAACACGUAAGGAACCUGCCUUAAGGAUUGGGAUAACUCCGAGAAAUCGGAGCUAAUACCGAAUAGUUCUUCAGACCGCAUGGUCUGAUGAUGAAAGGCGCUCCGGCGUCACCUUGAGAUGGCCUUGCGGUGCAUUAGCUAGUUGGUGGGGUAAUGGCCCACCAAGGCGACGAUGCAUAGCCGACCUGAGAGGGUGAUCGGCCACACUGGGACUGAGACACGGCCCAGACUCCUACGGGAGGCAGCAGUAGGGAAUCUUCCACAAUGGACGAAAGUCUGAUGGAGCAACGCCGCGUGAGUGAUGAAGGUUUUCGGAUCGUAAAACUCUGUUGUAAGGGAAGAACAGGUGUGAGAGGUAAUGCUCAUGCUAUGACGGUACCUUACGAGAAAGCCACGGCUAACUACGUGCCAGCAGCCGCGGUAAUACGUAGGUGGCAAGCGUUGUCCGGAAUUAUUGGGCGUAAAGCGCGCGCAGGCGGCCUUUUAAGUCUGAUGUGAAAGCCCCCGGCUCAACCGGGGA